UACGUAGGGUGCGAGCGUUGUCCGGAAUUAUUGGGCGUAAAGAGCUCGUAGGCGGUCUGUCGCGUCGGUCGUGAAAACUUGGGGCUUAACCCUGAGCUUGCGGUCGAUACGGGCAUGACUGGAGUUCGGUAGGGGAGACUGGAAUUCCUGGUGUAGCGGUGAAAUGCGCAGAUAUCAGGAGGAACACCGGUGGCGAAGGCGGGUCUCUGGGCCGUAACUGACGCUGAGGAGCGAAAGCGUGGGGAGCAAACAGG
rnacentral:rRNA from 1 species